UCCCGACGCGGGGCUUGAACUCACAGACCGUGAGAUCAUGACCUGAGUCGAAGACGGCCGCCUAACCGACUGAGCCACCCAGGCGUCCCGGGAUGGAAGAAUUUUAAAAGCUCUGUGGGAAUCUUUAGCGUCCUGUCAAGGUGAAGAACCACCAGCUUAUGGGUGCGAUUCCAGAGCUUCUGUGAUCCUGUCUUUAACUUUUGGUUAAUGGCUAAAGUGUAUCGAGCAUUUACUGCUCGUCGUGGGCAUCCAUGGAUUUGGUUUCCACGGCAUCCGUUUUCUUUCUACUGGUGAAGGUGAAAAAGCUCCCUGGCUUUUCUCUGGCUAACUACAUCCCUGCUUACCGACUGUGUGGUUGAUGACCCUGAUUCUUGACUUCAGGAAUGGCCGGCUGAUUCUUAGGCUUGACGAGUGGGUUGAUUCACGAAUGGUGUAAGUUAGUCUGAUGAGGCUUGAGCCAAGACUUUUGCUGGAAUUACCGGCAAAGAGGUGUUUUAGUUCCGGUGGGGCUGGUAAACCAGGUGAACCAGGGACCGCUCCAGAAAGAGAACCUAUCCAAGAGCAAAGUCAACGUAGAAGAAAGCAGGAAAAGAAACAACCUCAGCAGGUAUAUGGCUCGGACCCCAGGCUUGCGUCUAGCCACGCCUGAAGCUAUCAGUCCUCGUUCUUUAAGUCAUAUGAGCCAAUGAGUUCCCAUUUUGCUUAAGCCAGUUUAAGGUUUAAGAAGCAGGUAAGAAAAUCUCAGCCAUAAAGACCUGACAACUUGACCCGAGGUUGAGUUAUCAGAGGCAGGAAAGCCUUAUAGAGGGAGAGUUCAAGCCAGAACUGCGGGAUGUCACGGCCAUUGUGACGGCUCCAGCUUCCUCCUCAGUGGGGCAGAGGCCGGGUUGAUGGGGCUGGCCAUGCAGUGCUCCCUCCAGAUUCAACUACCUAGCCUGCCAUGGCCCUGGGCACUGGGUGGUUGUUGAUGCCAUUUUUAGAAGCCUGUGUAAAAAUCGAGAAGACAUUUGGGAAGGUUGCAGGAGCAGGAGAUGUGGACGUUUCUAGAAUGAAAACCACCUCCUUUGGCCACUGCUACAUCUGCUUCGUUUGGGUCAUGUGUGGACGGACACCGGCAGGAAGUUUGGGCUCUUAUUGGAACCCCAAAUUGUUGCACAAGUGCAAGGAGAGAGAGACAGAGUGGAAUGUUCUUCGUUUCCUUGUUGUUUGUUAUAGAACCAGAAGCAACCUCAAUGUCCAUCAGCACAGUUACAGUGAACUCUGGAAGCAACCAAAAUAGGGGAAGAACCAAUCUGGAGAGGAUUGCCUUCUGUGUGGACCCAGGGGCUUUGGCCCUCAUAACUACCUGGCCCCAGAGAACCCAUGGAGGACCACCAGGCUUACAGUCACCCAUCGUCGCUCUGGGAAACACCAGUGACUGUCUCUGCCUUACUAGCCUCUUUCCAGACGAAGCUGACAAGAAUGGAAAAACCAACCAACCAACUCUAUCUCUGCCUGGCGGCCUGGGAAUCACCCAAGGCAGUUGACUUGUCCAGGUUGGCCCUCUUAUUCUAAACUUGACUGCUUUCUAGAAGUUCAUCAACAAACACAUUCUUAAGAGCUGUUUUGGCCCGACCUCCUCAUUAGGGAGUCAGGGAAAAGAGCUUGGCUGGAGAUGGUAGCACCCUAUGUUCUAGAACUCCCCCAUGUGGCCAGAUUUAAACAACAGCAUCCGUGAGUGAGAGCCCAGCGGGAAAGCAAUGAGCUCCUUCAGUGGCGACCAUUGGCAGAAAAGCAGCUGGGGGCCAUUUUGUCAAGAAGUACUCCUUUGGAGAAAAACAAAACAAAACAGAAGGCAUACAGGUGCACGCCAGUGUCCUCAUAAUAAACUAUAACAAAGGUGGCAAUUAAGUUCCAUUAGGGGCAGACAGCUUUAAAUUAGAUAAUGUAUUCAGAAAGCAUUCUAUAAUCUGCGGAGUGUGAGAAUGUGAAGCAUUAUUAUUAUUAUCCUUAUUUCUGCAAAAUUGCCCGGAUUGCUAUGCCUGCCAAGGCCAGUUAAAGGGCCAGGGGAUAGAGAAGACCAAAUGAGUAGCUCCCUGGGGAGAGGAGACAGACGAGAAAGGGUUAAGCUCCCCAGAACACCAAUGUAUGCAAAGGGUUGGAUCCCAACCGGUUUUCAGGCCAGCGCUAAGAUCUGAAUUACAAAUUUACAGAAUUUGCUGCUCAGUAAUUUUUUUUUCCUCCCCUAAUGGAGCCUGUUAAUUUCCAGUUGGCCACUUUGUGUUCACUGAUGGCAUGAGGAAGGUCUAGCAUGCAGAGACGUGUUUCUAGUCCCUGUGCGGACCCCCUUUUAAGAAGGCUUCGAAAGGGACAUGCAGAGGAUGCUUAAAACCCACCCUCAUCAUUCUUACCAUUCUGCAAAGCGCAUGCCCUGCGUCUGCGGCUUGGGCAUGCCUCCCCUCCCCUGGAUGAUGAAUUCACGAGGGACCUCAUGGGCUGCUGAGAACAAGCACGCUUUUGAAUGAACUCUUUUACGGGUAUCAGUCCAAAAGUCACCAUCAGCUGCAACUGAAAAGCAGAGUGGGUUUUGUUUUUGUUUUUGUUUUGUUUUUGUUUUUGUUUUUCCCCCAGUGGCGGCCAGUUCGGCUCAAAAGCUCAGUUCUUGGAAGGGCCACUUCUUCUUGCCACUGGAGAAGACACACCUCCCUGUGCACCUAAAAAUAAAAAGUAAAUAAAUAA